UCAGUGCUUCUGAAUCUGAAAGUCUUCAGGCAAAUUGCCCAGGUUUGCUGGCAGCUGUGUCUCAGAAAAAGCUGUCUUCAGCAAGGCAGAAGCAGACCAGGGUGGUCCAGAGUUGGUGACUAUUAUGGCAUGGCUACCCAGGGCCAGAGAGGUGAGGUUUAAUGAGAAAGAAGAUAGAUGAAAAUGACUCCUCCUCCUGCUUCCACUGCUGCAGCAACUCAGGCCUGCAGACAAGAUCCAGCUCUCUUGCCCAAGCUGGAGUGCAGUGGUGAGAUAAUGAUUCACUGCAGCCUUGAUCUCCUGGGCUCAAGCAGUUCUCCCGCCUCAGCCUCCUGAGUAGCUGGGACCACAGGCACCCUCCACCAUGUCUGGCCAAAAUUUUUUGAAUUUUUUGUAGAGACCAGGUUUCACCAUGUUGCCCAGGCUGAUUUCAAAUUCCUGGGCUCAAGUGAUCUUCCUGCCUCAGCCUCUCAAAGUGCUGAGAUUACAAGUGUGAGCCACCACACCCAGCCAAAAUAUAAAUAUGCCUUUAAUAGUAACACCUAAUUACCUAACACCAUCAAAAAUGGGGUGCUCCAUGAAGAAGCACAUAAUUCAAAUUAUUGAAGUUUAUCCCUUCUAAUGACCACAUAGAUUUCUCUUGCCCCAUUAAAAAAUUAGAUAAUCAGUAUUUCUAGGAUAGUUGUUUUCUUCCAACCAAUUAAGGCAUAAUCUAUGUAGCAGAACAUUCAGAGGAUGAUGCCUGGUCAACAUUUGAAUAAACAAUCACUGUAGUGUUACCUCUAUUUAAGAUGACUCUAAUAAAACUUCUAUGGUUUGCAUUAUUAGUUGAUCAGACUUUAAGCAUUAUCUUUUGAUAGGGUCAAGGAACCUGUCUUAACUCCCC
rnacentral:antisense_RNA from 1 species